rnacentral:rRNA from 1 species
ACAGGUGGUGCAUGGUUGUCGUCAGCUCGUGUCGUGAGAUGUUGGUUAAGUCCGCAACGAGCGCAACCCCUAUUGUUAGUUGCCAUCAUUCAGUUGGGCACUCUAGCGAGACUGCCGGUAAUAAACCGGAGGAAGUGGGGAUGACGUCAAAUCAUCAUGCCCCUUAUGACCUGGGCUACACACGUGCUACAAUGGUUGGUACAACGAGUUGCGAGUCGGUGACGGCGAGCUAAUCUCUUAAAGCCAAUCUCAGUUCGGAUUGUAGGCUGCAACUCGCCUACAUGAAGUCGGAAUCGCUAGUAAUCGCGGAUCAGCACGCCGCGGUGAAUACGUUCCCGGGCCUU